UGGGGAAUAUUGGACAAUGGGCGCAAGCCUGAUGCAGCCAUGCCGCGUGUGUGAAGAAGGCCUUCGGGUUGUAAAGCACUUUCAGCGAGGAGGAAGGCAUAAAGGUUAAUAACCUUUGUGAUUGACGUUACUCGCAGAAGAAGCACCGGCUAACUCCGUGCCAGCAGCCGCGGUAAUACGGAGGGUGCAAGCGUUAAUCGGAAUUACUGGGCGUAAAGCGCACGCAGGCGGUUUGUUAAGUCAGAUGUGAAAUCCCCGCGCUUAACGUGGGAACUGCAUUUGAAACUGGCAAGCUAGAGUCUUGUAGAGGGGGGUAGAAUUCCAGGUGUAGCGGUGAAAUGCGUAGAGAUCUGGAGGAAUACCGGUGGCGAAGGCGGCCCCCUGGACAAAGACUGACGCUCAGGUGCGAAAGCGUGGGGAGCAAACA
rnacentral:rRNA from 1 species